rnacentral:lncRNA from 1 species
GCAUCAAUAUGAACAGCAAAAAUUGCUUCAACAUCUUGAAGAACUCCGUCUUUUAUCAUUUGUGAGGCACCUCUAGCUCCCUCCUCAGCAGGUUGGAAAAGAAGUCUCACAGUUCCCUUUAAUAUUAAUACCAAAGAGUAGGGAAACAGUCUUCAAACAACGUAUUUGACUUUUGAGUACUUAUGUGUUAGAGUCAGAACAUCAAACACACUAACAGAAGAAGCCAUCUAAUUACGUAUGUCAAAACCUGUGCUUCUGACACUAGUUAAAAACAACUCAAUAGCUAAUAUCGAUAUUGUUUAGUUGAUUUAUUUUAUCUAUCCUAAUGGAUCAAAGAGCUCAACAUUUAGUAAGUUUGAUCUAGUUGGGACACUGUUAGUUAAUACAUUUUAGAUUUUACGCAAACUUAUACUUUAGCUAAACUUUUUAUUAUGGAUGCAGUUCAAGUAUUACUAACUUAUAUGAUGAACUUAUGAUCAGGUAAUAUAACAGGUAAUUAGCAUGUCAUGGUAGUCCAAAGUUGUGAAGUAGAGAGUUCAAAGCCUAGAUAAUCUAUUAAUUCUUCCAGAUUCAGUGUGAUUGUGGAAGGUUUAGUAGUUACUAGUUACCUAGCAAAGCUGAGAUACAAAUAUUUAGGUCCGAACCCAAAAUUCAGUACAUAAAAGUAACCUUAACGAAGAAUUAUACUCGAAAGACAGGACUCUGAGGAAUUAGAAGUUAAUUUGUCUAAAGUAUUUCACAGCCCAUUUCAUCAAGCAUUUAACAUGAACACCAAGGCACCAUAUUGAGUAAGUUCAUUAGGGAUGAUCAGACAAAUAGUUACCUAAUUAGAAGAAAACCAAUUAUGUAACUUUGGAGAGUAGAACGGGGAUUUUUCUUUUAAUGUCUUUUUAGCUUUGUGACAUUAUUCAAGAAAACACACGAAGAAGGUUAUUGAUCAAUAAGAUGUAGAAAACGAAAAAAGUAGAGAAUACGAAAGUCCUUAAGAGGAAGUCUAGUGAUAAAACUAAAUGAUAAGAAUACAGAAACAGACAAUUUGAAAAGAACCUUAAGCUUAUCUUUGCGCUGAUUGAGCAACUUUGCAGCCCCUAAUAGCAUAGUAGCAUGAGCAUCAUGUCCACAAGCAUGCAUUCUGCCAUCAAUUUUGCUCUUGUAUUCCCACUCAACAAGUUCCUAACCAAGCAUCACCAACAUCAGAUAAAAAAUAUUACCUUAUUUGAAAAACAAUAUUCUCCUCAAGGAGCAUAAGAACAGUGUAUGUUUGGUUCAAUAACUAGAAUUGAUUCUAAGGUAACUAGCAUUCAGAGCUUUUGCCUCUACAAUUGUUUUUUAGCCUUAAAUUUAUGUACAACUCACUCAUAGCAGAAAUUAAUUUUACAUAAUCAAUUCAUUCAAAAUCAUUUAUCACUACCAAACACACACUUAAGGAGCUAAAAAGGGGUAACCUGCAAAGGGAGUCCAUCGAUAUCAGCACGAAUAGCGAUGAUGGGAGAAGAACCAGAACCAAUUUGAGCAACAAUACCAGUUUUAGCAACUGGAUAUGUAUAAGGUAUACCAAGUUUGUCAAGUUCACUGCGGAUAAGAGCACUUGUGUUGUGUUCUUGGAAAGCCAAUUCUGGGUGUUGAUGAAUCUCUCUUCUCACUGAAACCAACCAAUCUUUUUCCUUCUGGGCUGAACUCAGAAUCUCUUGAGCAUAAGCAUCACACUUCACCACGGUACAGAGGGAAGUGCAUAACAGAAACACAAUAACUACAUGAAUGGCUGCCAUCAAAUGUUGUCUCUUUCUCUGUCCCAAAUUAUUGAUUGUCUCUUUUAACUUCCAAGCCACUCGUUGACCCUUGUUCCUGAAGUGGCAAGCACAACUUCAAGUUCCUGAAAUUGAAAUCAGGUAAUGUUUUCGGGCUAACAAUAUCGACAUUGACGCUGAGCUACAAAGAUGGGUUCUUAUGUUUUUUCUUCUAUGGAAUUAAAAAAAAAUUAUAUUAGCGAGACGUAAAUCUCCCUAAUAUUUAGGUAUAGAAAGCUAUCAGAAAUUAUACUUGAACACAAUCGACAAAUAAUUUGAGCAAAAAUAUUUAGUCACACUUACAAAAGAAAGGAACUUGUCAAAGGUUACACACACAAAGGUUAAGUUAUUUUCGAUUAACAAAAAAUUAGUUGUUUUAUUUUAAGGAGUGGUUAUUUUGGUUCGGUGCAUUGUUCUUUUUUCUUUUGUUCAUUUGUAUUUUUCGUUAGUUUUUAUGGUAAGAUAUGUUAAAAAAAGAAAGCUAGAUGUAAGAACUAAGAAGAAAAAACAACUAAUUUGUUGGGGGGGGACCUACCGUCAAAGAGAAAGAUAUGUUUUCUCUUAGGUUCUCUUCAUUUAUUUACCAUUAAUGUAGUCCACUUACUAAUAUGGGUUUGAUUAAUCUAUCACUUAUGUAUAUCUCUAUCAUAAUUGACGGUAAAUGGAAAGUACAUAAAUGGAGUAAACCCAAACUCGUUUUCUCUAUCAAUGGUCCUUUCGUUGAGAGUGUUCCACCAUGGACAUGGUAGGUCCUACUAAAAAGGAUAUUAAAACAGAAGAUGUUACCAAAGCUUAGAUUUUGGAGAUGUUCCAUAAUUCAAACCACAAACUUUGGUCGCUGGAAGCUCCGGUUACCUACAUUGCGUCUAAAUAUCCCCAUUUUGGCGGUUUUGACACCCUUCGGUGGAUUUUAAUAGAUCCAUCCAUAGAAAACCUCCUCUCUAUCAAAUUGCAAUUGUUAUGCAUCCCUUGUGUGAUUUGUGUCAAUAUGAAAAAUGAGAACAACAAAUUUAAAAAGUGAAACUGGAAUAAAACUGAAAAUGAAGAAAUUGUUCAAAUGUAAAACAACAGAGUUUAUAGACUAGCCAGCUGGGUGGUAAUAGGUGAUACAUAAAUAAUAUUAUACACCAACUAAGUAUGAAUGAUUGACAAUGUAAAAUUUCUUCACCCUUUCAAUGCAUAUCAAAUAAAUCCUAAUAGAUUAAAACUCAAUGCAGCUAGUUUUCCAGUUUGAUUUUGGACCUCAUGCACUCCAUAUCCAUCACUUUUCCUCUGAGAUACCAGGGAUAACGGCCUGCUGCUUAUCCUCUUGUCUGACCUGUGAUGUGGAUACUGUAAUGGGGGCUGGAUCAGAUUGUAGUUCUUCUGGAGCUGAAUUAGUUUGCUCCCCCUCACCACAGUUUGAAACUUCAAGGCUCUCAUCGUUUUUCUUAAAUAAUCGACAUAGCACAUAUGCUUUCUGAUAUAAGUAACAAAAUAAUAAUUAACAGAUUAGUAAUUGUUAUCAUCUUCAUAUAAUUUGACAUAGUAAAAAUAGGAGAGGAUAAUAUUAUAGAGAAUAGACCUGUCCUGGGUUCGUUCCAUCAAGCUCCUCAAGGGUGGGACGAUACUCGUGCAUUACCCAAUUAGACCUCCUCCCGUUAGGUGCACGACUAAUGUAGAAAACUAAUGUCUUCUUCAUCCCAAUCAAGAUGGUUCCAGAUUUGAUUUUACGAUCCUUCCCUGUUGCCUUCCAAUAUCCAUGAUUUGUUUCUCUGUUCAAUCGAUUCCCAUUUGGAUAUUGUCGAUCCUGUGGACAGAAGAAGAACCACUCUGGGUCAUUGUCUUUUAUCACUGACAAAUCUACAACAAACCCAACACAAACCAAGAGAUAAAAAAAAAAAAAAUCAGCAAAAUAAAAAAGCAAUUCAGCACUCCUAUAUGUUACUCAAAUCCUCAUGAUCUAUUCCUUAAACAAUGAAAACAGUCUAAGGUCUUGUUUGGAUAAAUAGCUUAAUUAAAUGUUCAUAGCAUAAGUUCUUAUGUAUAAGUUAAUCCUAUAACAAAAAAAAAAAGCUAAAGUCAUUGUUUUCAUAAAAACUAGUAGUUUAAGCUAUAAGUUGUUGCCAUCAGCUAUCAUGGAAAGCUUAAAGAAAUAGACUGAAAACAGCUUGUGGACAUGUAAUAAGUUGUUUCCAUAAGCUCCUCAAACAAUUUCACAAAUGCCUAUGUAAGUGGAUAAACUUAUGUCAAUCCAAACAGACCCUAAGCAUGCGAUCUAUGCAUAUUAAGCUAAGAAUUUAUCAAAGAAAAACUAUAAGAUUUUCAACUUUACCAAAUCAAGAGGAGAUAAUGUGCGUAAAAAGAGAAAAGAGAAAUACCGGGCAUAUCCCAGGGUUCCCAUUUGCAGACAUCGAUUUCUCGGAUAACCUGAACCUCGUCACCAUUGCCGUUAAUCUUUAAACGAAGGUAGUAAUCGAUAAGUUCCUCGUCUGUAGGUCGGAAUCGGAACCCUAGCGGAAGCGAAAUCAGAGACAACGUCACCAUCUUGCCGAGCAAUGGACAAAACACAAAAGUCAAGACCAUCCAUAAUAUAAAAUGAAAUUGAAUAUUAAUAAAAAAAAUAAAAAAAAGAAUAUCGAUCUCAUCCCGAAAAAGUAUUAACCAAUCAAAUUAAAGUACGAUAUUUAACCAAUCAAAUUUUGGCUAACCAUACAUGAGACAGUUGGCGGUUAUUAUUUAUAAAGGGUUAUUUGCUGCCUCGUGCUAAUCUAGCAUUUCUUAUAAACCGCAUCUCGUAACAAUAAGCAUAUUCUUUCCAAAAAAAAAAUCAGUAAGCAUUAUUAUAGACAUCAUAGAGUAAAUAUUUUUCCUUAAAAAGAUCUUGUUGUAACUAAAUGUUAUGGAUAGAUCUUAUUGUCAAAGUCAAUAUUUUUAAAGUAUCGGUUUCCCUUGAGGGGCUCUGUCAAAUAUUUUAACUGUGAAGAGGAUCGAUUUCCCUUGAGACAAGCUGUUGCAUACCAAUAUUUCAAAUGAUGUAGCCAGCAGUGGAUCGACAGUCAGGUGGAGAAAUGCAGCAUGACCAUUUACCUCAAAAAUGCAUCCAGCAGCUGUAAAAGGCCCUGGAAUCGAUGCUAUGUUUCCCGUAGAUGCCGUAGCAUCAGUAUGAACAGCAAAAAUUGCUUCUACAUCUUGAAGAACACCUUCUUUUAUCAUUUGCGAGGCACCUCUAGCUCCUUCUCAGCAGGUUGGAAAAGAAGUCUCACAGUUCUUUUUAAUGCAAAGGUCGGAAUCAGAGCAUCAAACACGCUAACAGAAUAGAACAUCGUCUACUUACAUCUUUCUUGUGAGGCACCUCUAGGCUCUAGCUCCUUCUCAGCAGGUUGGAAAAGAAGUCUCACAGUUCCCUUUAAUGCAAGGGUCAGAAUCAGAACAUCAAACACACUAACAGAAUAGAACAUAUACUUACAUCUUUCUGAACCUGUGCUUCCACACUAGGCUUAAAAUCUAUAAUAUUUUAUUAAGUUAUUAUAUCUUAAAGGAACAAAGAGUUGAACAUUUAGCAAGUUGGAUCUAGUUGGGACACUAUUGGUUUAUACAUUUUGAAUUUUAUGCCAUUCUACUUUAUAUAAACUUUUAAUUAUGGAUGCAGUUCAAGUAUUACUAACUUCGGGUGAAGUUAUGAUCCGGUAAUUAGCAUGUCAUAGUGGCCCAAAGUUGUGUAGUAGAUAGUUCAAAACCUAGAUAAUCUAUUAACUCAUACCAGAUUCAGUGUGAUUGUGGAAGGUUAAGUAGUUAUCUAGCAGGGCUGAUAUACAAAUACCUACAUCUAAGCCUUUCUGGCCAUGCUUGACCCUAAACCGGAAAUCCAGUUUGGAACACAUGGAAGAAUUAUAAAACGAAAAACGGGAUUCUGCUAGGCGUUGGAAGUCAAUUUGUCUAAACUAUUUCACAGUCCAUUUUGUCAAACAUUUAACAUGAACACUAAGGCGUCAUAUUGUGUUAGUUCAUUAUGGGUGGCCAAACAAAUAGUUAGUUAAUUGGAGAAAGACAAAAAUAAUCAAAAAAU